UACGAAGGGGGCUAGCGUUGCUCGGAAUCACUGGGCGUAAAGGGUGCGUAGGCGGGUCUUUAAGUCAGGGGUGAAAUCCUGGAGCUCAACUCCAGAACUGCCUUUGAUACUGAAGAUCUUGAGUUCGGGAGAGGUGAGUGGAACUGCGAGUGUAGAGGUGAAAUUCGUAGAUAUUCGCAAGAACACCAGUGGCGAAGGCGGACUCACUGGCCCGAGUACUGACGCUGAGGCACGAAAGCGUGGGGA
rnacentral:rRNA from 1 species